CCUACGGGUGGCAGCAGUGGGGGAUAUUGCACAAUGGGGGAAACCCUGAUGCAGCGACGCAGCGUGUGGGAAGACGGUCCUCUGGAUUGUAAACCACUGUUCCCAGGGACGAAGAUGACGGUAGCUGGGGUGUAAGCUCCCGCUAACUACGUGCAAGCAGGCGAGGUCAUACGUAGGGCGCGAGGGUUGUCCGGAAUUACUGGGGGUAAAGGGAGCGUAGGGGGGGAUGCAGGUUGGUUAUCAAAACUACCGGCUAAACUGGUAGUCGCAAGCAAAACUGCAGCUCUGGAGUGAAGUUGAGGCAGGCGGAAUUCCUAGUGUAGCGGUGAAAUGCGUAGAUAUUAGGAGGAACUCCAGUGGCGAAGGCGGCCUGCUGAGCUGUGACUGACGCUGAGGCUCGAAAGUGUGGGGAGCAAACAGGAUUAGAUACCCCUGUAGUC
rnacentral:rRNA from 1 species